rnacentral:rRNA from 1 species
AUGGCCGAGCACCUCGCGUCUAUCUUCGGCACGGAGAAGGACCGCGUGAACUGCCCGUUCUACUUCAAGAUCGGCGCGUGCCGGCACGGCGACCGCUGCUCCCGCCUGCACAACAAGCCGUCCGUCUCGCCCACGCUGCUGCUCUGCAACAUGUACCAGCGCCCCGACAUGAUCACCCCGGGCGUGGACGCGCAGGGCAACCCCAUCGACCCCGUCAAGAUCCAGGGCGACUUCGAGGACUUCUACGAGGACAUCUUCGACGAGCUCAGCAAGCACGGCGAGGUCGAGAACCUGCACGUCUGCGACAACCUCGCCGACCACCUGAUUGGCAACGUGUACGUGCAGUUCAGGGAGGAGGACCAGGCCGCCAAGGCCCUCCAGGCGCUGCAGGGGAGGUUCUACUCGGGCCGCCCCAUCAUCGCUGAGUUCUCGCCCGUCACCGACUUCCGGGAGGCCACCUGCCGGCAGUUCGAGGAGCACAACUGCAACCGUGGAGGGUACUGCAACUUCAUGCAUGUCAAGGAGAUUGGCAGGGACCUGAGGAAGAGGCUCUAUGGGCACCUGCAUAGGUCCAGGAGGAGCCACAGCAGGAGCCCGAGCCCCUACCGUCACCACGCCAGGGACCGUGAUCGCUCCUCACGGUCUAGGGACCGGGGCGACUACUAUGGAGGCAGCCUGGACCGUGGUGACUACGGCGACUACUACCACCACAGCCGGAGGAGCAGCGAGAGGAAUCGCAACUAUGACAGCGAUGGGAGCAGGCGGCGCCGGCGACACAGGUCUAGGACUAGGAGCCCGGUCAGGGAGGGCAGCGAGGAGAGGAGGGCAAAGAUUGAGCAGUGGAACCGUGAAAGGGAGGCGCCUGCCAGGCAGGGCAGCGAGGAGAGGAGGGCGAAGAUCGAGCAGUGGAACCGCGAAAGGGAGACUGCUCAGGCGUGA